rnacentral:rRNA from 1 species
UACGUAGGGUGCGAGCGUUAAUCGGAAUUACUGGGCGUAAAGCGUGCGCAGGCGGUAAUGUAAGACAGGUGUGAAAUCCCAGGGCUUAACCUUGGAACUGCAUUUGUGACUGCAUUGCUGGAGUGCGGCAGAGGGGGAUGGAAUUCCGCGUGUAGCAGUGAAAUGCGUAGAUAUGCGGAGGAACACCGAUGGCGAAGGCAAUCCCCUGGGCCUGCACUGACGCUCAUGCACGAAAGCGUGGGGAGCAAACAGG